rnacentral:lncRNA from 10 species
AUUUUUAGUUUGUUGACCAGGCUGGUCUCAAACUCCAAACCUUCAGUGAUCCAUUUGCUUCGGCCUCAUGAACAGCCAUUUUGAUGAAUGUAGUUGACAAGGUAGGUUCAGAGAUAUUUUAAUAAUAAUUUAGCAAAUAGUGUGUUUAGCAUGAAAACUUUUACUUCAGAUAUACAGGUUCUUAGAGAGUUUAUAGAACAUGAAAGACUACUGUUACAGUGGAAUCCAGUGGUGCAAAGCGUAAAGGAAGGAUGAAGGGAGACUGGAUUAGGGUUGUCAGAGAAGGCUUUGCAAUAAAGAGGUUUGAGCAGCACAGUGAAGAAAAAAGGUGAAUCUAGUUGAAGCAGUGUUUUGUGGAAAUAAAACUUGUAAUAAAGUCAGUGCCAGGAGUUAGUUCAUACUGGGCUAAGCUGCAUAGCACCCCCCACCCCCUUUUUGAGCCCUGAUGUGGGUGGCAUGUUGUAAGUGGCUGAAUAAUGAAGAUUAUUUGAAUAAAGACAAUAAAGGCCAGGAGGAGGGUGGCAGCAAUAGAAAGGAGAAAGAUCGGAGAUUUUGGAAAGAGAAAUGAAAGGCCAUAGUGGUAUGCUGUAGGUUGUAUUCUAGUUUUUAUCAAGAAUUGAAAGUGUAGUUGGACUGUUCAUGAUACGUUUGGUAACUUGAAUCUCCAUUCAGUGAUAAAUGCCUUGGAUGACCGUCAGGAUCUGAAAAACUUUUGAUAGCCUGAGAUAGAAAGUUUAUAUCUACCAAGAUGGAAUUGACUAAAGUUAAGUAUUUACACUAGUUUAACAAGCUGUGGUGUCAGUAAUGUGUGGUUGCCAAAUAACCUAGGGUAACACAGACAAUAUGUAAGAGUGGUAUGGUGUCUAGAAGUGGAAAAUUAGUAAUAAGCUCCAGUUUAUUCUAGACUCCUGUUUCAGUCUGCGUUUACAGUAUUGUGUUAGAAUGUCACUCUUCAGUGACACUUGUCAGUAUUUCUUGGAGGUACUUUAGUUUGCCAUUAUCAGGGAAGCAAUGAUUAGCCAAGCAUAGAAAACAACUGAGUCAUGUGCUUGUGUGCCAGGUAUAUGAAAUGCUGUCAUUUGGGGGAAAGAAAUAGGUUUAUUUAAGGAAGUAGAUUUUGGCUUAUUGUAAAGAAGACUUUAUAAUUAAGAAAUCUUUAGGCCAGGUGCGGUGGAUCAUGCCUGUGAUCCGCCCACCUCUGCCUCCCAAAGUGCUGGGAUUACAGCUGUGAGCCACCAUGCCUGGCCUAUCUCACAUAUUUUCUUUGUAUUUUACAGAAUGUUCUUCUGAAAAUGUCUUAAAUAUUAGCUGUCCAAAUAUCUUAAUACAUUUUGUUAAAGGGUGGAGAGUUUUUUCUCUGAGAGAUAGGAAAUACUAAAUCUCUAUUCAUGAUAGACUGUUUCUUCACCAGUAGUGCUCAUUGCCACCCCAAAAAUUUCAUGUUCGAUGGAUGGAUUUUGAAAAUGAAAUGAGUAUUAAAAUUAUAACACAGUAGUGCAAUAAGAAAACAAGUAGGUGUGUAAUGAGUUAUACUAAUUAGGGAGACCUUUUUAGAGAAUCUGUAAAUAGGUAUCUGCUUA